CAUUUGGUGGACAGGCAUGCAGGCCCUGGGGCGGGCUGCCUCAUGGCAAAUGAUGAUGGUGGCUGACGGCGGUGCAGUGCUGCCCUUGAUGC
rnacentral:tRNA from 1 species